UACGUAGGGUGCGAGCGUUUGUCCGGAAUUAUUGGGCGUAAAGGGCUCGUAGGCGGUCUGUUGCGUCAGGAGUGAAAACUCGGGGCUUAACCCCGAGCCUGCUUCUGAUACGGGCAGACUAGAGGUAUGCAGGGGAGAACGGAAUUCCUGGUGUAGCGGUGAAAUGCGUAGAGAUCCGGAGGAACACCGCAGGCGAAGGCAGUGUCCUGGCGCGUACCUGACGCUGAGGUGCGAAAGCUAGGGGAGCGAACGGGG
rnacentral:rRNA from 1 species